UGGGGAAUAUUGGACAAUGGGCGCAAGCCUGAUCCAGCCAUGCCGCGUGAGUGAUGAAGGCCCUAGGGUUGUAAAGCUCUUUCACCGGUGAAGAUAAUGACGGUAACCGGAGAAGAAGCCCCGGCUAACUUCGUGCCAGCAGCCGCGGUAAUACGAAGGGGGCUAGCGUUGUUCGGAUUUACUGGGCGUAAAGCGCACGUAGGCGGACUUUUAAGUCAGGGGUGAAAUCCCGGGGCUCAACCCCGGAACUGCCUUUGAUACUGGAAGUCUUGAGUAUGGUAGAGGUGAGUGGAAUUCCGAGUGUAGAGGUGAAAUUCGUAGAUAUUCGGAGGAACACCAGUGGCGAAGGCGGCUCACUGGACCAUUACUGACGCUGAGGUGCGAAAGCGUGGAGAGCAAACAGG
rnacentral:rRNA from 1 species